rnacentral:rRNA from 1 species
AUUGAACGCUGGCGGCAGGCCUAACACAUGCAAGUCGAGCGAGCGGCGGACGGGUGAGUAAUGCCUGGGAAUUGCCCAGUCGAGGGGGAUAACCGUUGGAAACGACUUCUAAUCCCGCAUAAGCUGGGAUUGCCCAGGUGGGUUUCGCUAGUUGGUGAGGAAGUGUCUCACCAAGGCGACGAUCCCUAGCUGGUCUGAGAGGAUGAUCAGCCACACUGGAACUGAGACACGGUCCAGACUCCUACGGGAGGCAGCAGUGGGGAAUAUUGCACAAUGGGGGAAACCCUGAUGCAGCCAUGCCGCGUGUGUGAAGAAGGCCUUCGGGUUGUAAAGCACUUUCAGCGAGGAGGCGUUACUCGCAGAAGAAGCACCGGCUAACUCCGUGCCAGCAGCCGCGGUAAUUC